GGACCGUUGGCCCAAUGGCAAGGCGUUUGACUUCGAAUCAAAAGAUUGCAGGUUCGAUCCCUGCACGGUCCU
rnacentral:tRNA from 1 species